GAUUGAACGCUGGCGGCAUGCUUUACACAUGCAAGUCGAACGGUAACAGGCCUUCGGGUGCUGACGAGUGGCGAACGGGUGAGUAAUGCAUCGGAACGUACCCAGAGGUGGGGGAUAACGCAGCGAAAGCUGUGCUAAUACCGCAUGUGAUCUGAGGAUGAAAGCGGGGGACCGAGCAGCAAUGUUUGGCCUCGCGCCUUUGGAGCGGCCGAUGUCGGAUUAGCUAGUUGGUGGGGUAAAGGCCUACCAAGGCGACGAUCCGUAGCUGGUCUGAGAGGACGACCGGCCACACUGGGACUGAGACACGGCCCAGACUCCUACGGGAGGCAGCAGUGGGGAAUUUUGGACAAUGGGCGCAAGCCUGAUCCAGCAAUGCCGCGUGCGGGAAGAAGGCCUUCGGGUUGUAAACCGCUUUUGGCAGGAACGAAACGGUGUCCGCUAAUACCGGGCGCUAAUGACGGUACCUGCAGAAUAAGCACCGGCUAACUACGUG
rnacentral:rRNA from 1 species